UACAUAGGGUGCGAGCGUUAAUCGGAAUUACUGGGCGUAAAGCGUGCGUAGACGGUUAUUUAAGUCGGAUGUGAAAGCCCCGGGCUCAACCUGGGAAUUGCAUUCGAGACUGAAUAGCUAGGGUGCGGUAGAGGGAAGCGGAAUUUCCGGUGUAGCGGUGAAAUGCGUAGAUAUCGGAAGGAACAUCAGUGGCGAAAGCGGCUUCCUGGACCAGCACCGACGUUCAGGCACGAAAGCGUGGGGAGCAAACAGG
rnacentral:rRNA from 1 species